rnacentral:lncRNA from 1 species
AAACCAGGUUAGUGUCAGUGCAGAUAAGAGAAUAAAGUUUUAUGAAGUGGAGGUGAGCUACAGGGAAAAAAACCUGAGAGUUUCUCAGGGAGUUUUAUCAAAGUAAACAUUCAAAUCAGAUAUUUCAGGCCAAAUUACAUGAUUCAAUGUAAUUACUAGAAAUCUACUCCAUUCCAUGCUGCCUAAGGCAUAUGGCUUGUCUUCAAAAUGUAAAAAGCCACAAACCUUUAGGAUGAAUGCUAUACUGCAGAAUUUGUGACAAUGUGCUUGAUUAGCAGCUGCUACCAAUUAGGCAGAUAUCUGUGAAAACGAUAACUCUCUUAGGGCCAACUCAUGCACAAAAGACAUACUUA